GGUCAAGGUCCUCACCAUUUGAUCUGUACGAAUCUCUACUUCACGAAACAAAAGUUAACGACCACUUUUCCAUCCAUUUGGGUUUGAGAAAGUAAAAAAAAGAAAAUAGACCAUAAAUGUGGAUGGGAUGGAAGCCUAUAAGCAUCCAGCCACCAUUAAUGCAGAUGGGUUAGGUUACUUUAGGCCUUCUCAGUAAUAAACAACAAGAAUAAAAGAUAAAUACAAAUUUCAGAUGGAAUAAAUACCAACUCCUUCAGAAUAAACACAAACCUUUUUAGAAUAAAUUCAAACUAGUCUAGAAUAAAUACAAACAUUUCUAGAAUAAACCUUUCCAAAAGAAAUAGACAUGCUUCAGAAUAGACAUAAACACAUCACUCCACUUCCUUCCCAUCUUCCACCGAAGCCAUUAGCCACUCCCAAGGUAUGCUGAACUGAUACCGUCGGCUGUUUCGGCAGGCCAGCAAUACGGUUCGGUAUGGUUUCAUACCGUACCGAACCGAUGACCCAAAUCGGAAGAAAAAAAGAGAGAAAUAGAGAGAGAGAAAGAGGAAGAAAAAAAAGAGAGGGGAAGGAGCCGGCGGGGCCAUUGGAGGGCAUGGUCCACGCUUGCGGCGCCACAGGCGUGAAACAGGGGCAUCGUCCUUGUUUCACAAAUUUUUAAAAAAAACAUGGUUUUAAGUGAAGUCGGC
rnacentral:lncRNA from 1 species